AGUGAACGCUGGCGGUAGGCCUAACACAUGCAAGUCGAACGGCAGCACAGUAAGAGCUUGCUCUUACGGGUGGCGAGUGGCGGACGGGUGAGGAAUACAUCGGAAUCUACUUUUUCGUGGGGGAUAACGUAGGGAAACUUACGCUAAUACCGCAUACGACCUACGGGUGAAAGCAGGGGAUCUUCGGACCUUGCGCGAUUGAAUGAGCCGAUGUCGGAUUAGCUAGUUGGCGGGGUAAAGGCCCACCAAGGCGACGAUCCGUAGCUGGUCUGAGAGGAUGAUCAGCCACACUGGAGCUUGAACACGGUCCAGACUCCUACGGGAGGCAGCAGUCGGGAAUAUUGGACAAUGGGCGCAAGCCUGAUCCAGCCAUACCGCGUGGGUGAAGAAGGCCUUCGGGUUGUAAAGCCCUUUUGUUGGGAAAGAAAAGCAGCAGGUUAAUACCCCGCUGUUCUGACGGUACCCAAAGAAUAAGCACCGGCUAACUUCGUG
rnacentral:rRNA from 1 species